AUUGAACGCUGGCGGUAGGCCUAACACAUGCAAGUCGAGCGGCAGCAGGGUGCUUGCUUCCGGUUUCGGGGGGCGAGGGGCGGGCGAUGCCUAAGAACAUCGCUGUCUGCGGGGGCUAAGGGGCGGACAUGGGGGCACAUACCCUAAUACCGCAGAGGACGUACGGGGGGGAGCAGCGGAUCUUCCGCCCUUGCGCGAGCGUAUGUGCGGGUGUCGGAUUAGCGAGUUGGAGGGGUAAAGGCCUACCAAGGCGACGAUCCGUAGCUGGUCUGAGAGGAUGAUCAGUCACACUGGAACUGAGACACGGUCCAGACUCCUACGGGAGGCAGCAGUGGGGAAUAUUGGACAAUGGGCGAAAGCCUGAUCCAGCCAUGCCGCGUGUGUGAAGAAGGUCUUCGGAUUGUAAAGCACUUUAAGUUGGGAGGAAGGGCAGUAAGUUAAUACCUUGCUGUUUUGACGUUACCAACAGAAUAAGCACCGGCUAACUUCGUG
rnacentral:rRNA from 1 species